rnacentral:rRNA from 1 species
GGCCAGUCGAACGACUCGGACUAUGGCGAGAAGUGGCAAACUGCUCAGUAACACGUAGCUAACCUACCCUCAGGACGGAGACAACCCCGGGAAACUGGGGUUAAUCCCUGAUAGGCGUGGAUUCCUGGAAUGGUGUCACGCCGAAACGUAAACACACCAUGUUUGUGUACACGCCUGAGGAUGGGGCUGCGGCCGAUCAGGCAGUUGGUGAGGUAACGGCUCACCAAACCUUUGACCGGUACGGGCCGUGAGAGCGGUAGCCCGGAGAUGGACACUGAGACAAGGGUCCAGGACCUACGGGUCGCAGCCGGUACGAAACCUCCACAAUGCACGAAAGUGCGAUGGGGUUACCUCGAGUGCCAUCUGAUGAAGGUGGCUUUUCCGCGGUGUAAGUAGCCGUGGGAAUAAGGGGGGGGCAAGACUGGUGUCAGCCGCCGCGGUAACACCAGCCCCCCGAGUGGUAGGGAUGUUUAUUUGGCCUAAAGCGUCCGUAGCCAGCUAGGUAAAUCCUUCGUUAAAUCCAGCGUCCUAAGCGUUGGGCUGCGAGGGAGACUGCUCAGCUAGAGGGUGGGAGAGGUCAGCGGUAUUUCUGGGGUAGGGGCGAAAUCCAUUGAUCCCAGGAGGACCACCAGUGGCGAAGGCUGCUGACUAGAACACGCCUGACGGUGAGGGACGAAAGCUGGGGUAGCGAAUCGGAUUAGAUACCCGAGUAGUCCCAGCCGUAAACGAUGCA